AAAAAAAAAAAAAAAAAAAAAAAGAUAAAAAGUGAUUAAUUCUCUCUCAGUUCCUUGUUUUAAAGAUAAAAUGUUUUUCUUCUUUU
rnacentral:ribozyme from 14 species